UCUUGUCACAGUUGAUGGCUUGCUUUUCCACUAAUGGAUUCCACACAAUAUCAAGCAAAACCACCAUUGAGUUAAAGUUCAGUUGGAAAUAGUGAGGUAAAAGUGUUGCUAGUAUCAACUAGGUCUUGCUCUAAAAGGAUCGAUCUUGUUGGACCAUUGAAGCGCUAAGAAAGGAACAAGCCCUGGUUGAUGCAUGCAACACUUUUGCUUUAUUAUUUACAUUGUUAAAAUGUUUGGUGACUUAAAUUAGGUUAAGACAACAUAAAUUGAAAGUUUGGUGACUUAAUUAAACUUUGAAUUAGUUUAAUUAAUCAAAUCAAGAGCUUAAUUGAAGAUUUGGGACUUAAUUGAACUUGAAAUUAGUUUAAUUAAUGAAAUCAAGAGCUUAAUUGAAUAGAUAUUAAAGUUUGGGGCUGAUUCAGGUCAACAUUGCAAUAAACUAAAGUCCAAGAACCAAAGUGAAACAUCGGGGGUACUAUAUGGAGGUUAAUUACUUUUUCCAGGGGUAAUUUUGAAAGAAUUAAAAGUCGAGGAGCCAAUUAAGGACUGAAUUGCUUAAAUUAGAAAACAAUGAUCAUUUUGUAAAUAUCACCUAAAUGAAGGGGUCCAAUUGCAAUUUAUCCAGGGGCGAAAUUAAAAACACAAAAACGGAUUUUCCUGAAUAAGGGGCUUGAUUAAAACAUUUCAAAACUUCAGUGACCACAAUGACAAUGGCCAUUCCCGUACCAAAACGGCGCCGUUUCAAAGAAAACUGUUCAUCACCUUCAUAACGAUUCAGCGGAAACGGCAGCAGACCGUGGUAGCAUCCCUCUCGCCCCCACAUUGCAUGCCAUUACUGAGGCACGAACGCAUGGCAUUCUCUGGCUUUAUAAAAGCCACGACAGCGGGGGGGAAGCACAAGACAGAGAGAACGAAGAGGGGAGAGAAAAACAGAAACACCAAGAACGAGAGACAAGAAGGAACAGAAAAACCCAGGAAAAACAGAGACGAGCAAACAGAGAAAAAACCAGGGAGGAACGAACAGAGAAAAAUACAGGGAGACAGAGGAAGAAAAUAAGGAAGAGAGGGAAAGACAGACAUUACAGAGAGGGAGAGACAGACACAGAGACGAAAAAAAAAACAGAAAGAAAGACAAGAGAGGACGAAGAAGAAAAACAAGACGAAGCAGAGGAGAGCGUCCGAUUCGACCAGCAACUUCACGUCUUCAUCGCCAUCGUCUUCGUCUCAGAACCAGAGCUUGUCAGGAAGACGCCACAGCAAAAGAGACGAAGAAGGAAUCCAGAAAGCAAGAAAAAGAGGAAAACCAGAGAAAGAACAUAGGAGAAGACGGUUAGCCAGCACACCUUCGCCAUCGCCUUCGACGUCUCCAGACCAGGAGGCAUAGACGUCAUACUUUCUUAAAGACCCCCCCGCCCACCGAGGAGAAAUCGUGACUCAAACCUAUCCAGUAAGAUCAAAGCUUGUGAUCAAUUCAACCGGUUUUACUUAGGUUCCUUGUAAGCCCAACUGCGGCUAGAUAAUGAAUCAAGGGCAUGAGGUCAGGGUUUGUCAAUUCAAGUCGUAGGCCGACCAGCGGUAUUGGGCUUUAUGUCUUCUUCUAACUCAAGAGUUCUCGUUGAGAUUGGCGAUUUAAUUCCUCUCCUUUUCCUUUUCUAUUCAUUCAUACAAUUUGCCUCUUCGGAUUAUUUCAAAAAAGAAUUCAGGAAAUAAAAACAGGCCUAGACUGAGGGCCGAGGAAUAGUUUUAUUCGAACGGAUCUUGACUAAAUAGUGUAAAGCAUUAUCAAAAUAUAUUUAAUACUAUUCGAUUUCUUGUUAGAUUUAGUGGCAAAUGAUGUAAAAUCGACGUUAGAUGAAAUCCUUAAUUCAAUUUUUAUAGGACAGGAAUAAUUUUAAUGAUUUGCUCUUA